rnacentral:rRNA from 1 species
CUCCUACGGGUGGCAGCAGUCGAGAAUAAUUCACAAUGGACGAAAGUCUGAUGGUGCAACGCCGCGUGGAGGAUGACGGUCUUCGGAUUGUAAACUCCUGUCAUCCGGGAGUAAGGCCUGGCUGUGAAUAGCAGACAGGGUUGAUAGUACCGGAAGAGGAAGGGACGGCUAACUUCGUGCCAGCAGCCGCGGUAAUACGAAGGUCCCGAGCGUUGUUCGGAAUCACUGGGCGUAAAGGGAGCGUAGGCGGCGCGGUAAGUCAGAUGUGAAAUCCCGGGGCUCAACCCCGGAACUGCAUCCGAUACUGCCGUGCUAGAGGAUUGGAGAGGUAGCUGGAAUUCUUGGUGUAGCAGUGAAAUGCGUGGAGAUCAAGAGGAACACUCGUGGCGAAAGCGAGCUACUGGACAAUAUCUGACGCUGAGGCUCGAAGGCCAGGGUAGCGAAAGGGAUUAGAUACCCCUGUAGUCCUGGCAGUAAACGGUGUGCGCUUGGUGUGAGGGGAAUCGACCCCCCUUGUGCCGGA